rnacentral:misc_RNA from 1 species
GAUGAAGAACGUAGCGAAAUGCGAUACGUAGUGUGAAUUGCAGAAUUCAGUGAAUCAUCGAGUCUUUGAACGCACAUUGCGCCCCCUGGUAUUCCGGGGGGCAUGCCUGUCCGAGCGUCAUUGCUGCCCUCAAGCACGGCUUGUGUGUUGGGCCCCGUCCCCUCCCCCGGGGACGGGCCCGAAAGGCAGCGGCGGCACCGCGUCCGAUCCUCGAGCGUAUGGGGCUUUGUCACCCGCUCUGUAGGCCCGGCCGGCGCCAGCCGACACCCAACUUUUAUUUCUAAGGUUGACCUCGGAUCAGGUAGGGAUACCCGCUGAACUUAAGCAUAUCAAUAAGCGGAGGA